GUAAAAGUUGAAAUGCUCCAUAAAUUUUAACCCAAGUCUAGGAAUAAAAGGCUCAAACUCUUGGAAACAUGGAUCCUUCAACCAAAUUGGUUGACCCGAUAACCAAACAUCAGUAGCCACCGACCUCUACUUCUUCUCCAGCAAACUCUUCACUAGCUUUCAAAGGAAAAUCGGUAAGGCAGCUUGAAACUCAAACGUGCAACGAUGAAAAUUACCCUGCUCGACACUUGUAAGCUCAUAGGAAAUGGGAUGUGCAAUAAACACCAUAAAAGCAACUGGGACUAGGGCCAAGGUUGAAUGAACCAUGAAGAGCUCAGCAAAGGUGACCAAAUGUAUAUCAAUCUCCGACAACCAACCAACA
rnacentral:misc_RNA from 1 species